UUGGAGGGCAAGUCUGGUGCCAGCAGCCGCGGUAAUUCCAGCUCCAAUAGCGUAUAUUAAAGUUGUUGCAGUUAAAAAGCUCGUAGUUGAAUUUCGGGACCAGUAGGUUGGCCGUGCCUACGGUACGUACUGGCUUCACUGGUUCCUCCCUUCUGACAAACCAUGAUGCCAUUAAUUUGGUGUUGUGGGGAAUCAGGACUGUUACUGUGAAAAAUUAGAGUGUUUAAAGCAGGCUUAAGCUUGAAUACAUUAGCAUGGAAUAAUGAAAUAUGACCCAGGGUCUAUUUCGUUGGUUUUGAGACCCAAAGUAAUGAUGAAUAGGAGUGGUCGGGGGCAUUUGUAUUUCGGCGCCUUACGGGAAAC
rnacentral:rRNA from 2 species